GCCAAAUUAUCUUAGUGUUUUGAGAAUGUAAUUUCUGUUUUAAGCAAUGAGCCAAACCAAAUAGAGAAAAACUGUAAACCCUAAGUGUUGAUUUGCUGUCUAUGGGGGGUUAAGCCAGGGUACAUUGAUACAUUCUCACAGCCAUUCUCAUUUGGGGGAGGGUCUAUCUUUGCCCCGACUGGCAGUAUACCGGAAGAGAUUUUGUAAAAAGAGGAGAUAACAUUAGCUAACUAAUUUCCUCGAAAUAACUGGUCUUCUUUGCAGCGGAGUGAGGGGCUCAUUUGUUUAAGUCAUCAAGAAAUGGUUGUUACCCUCGGGUAAAACAACAGUUAGGGAUCGACAAUCUUUUUGUAAAUUAGCUAUUUCUAGCUAUUUAGCUAGCUUGGUGGAGCUAAAGUUGCUCCACCAAGAAAGCUGCUUCCUCGUUUUGGACAUCCUUGUAACGUUAACGUUAGGAAUACCAACCAAGCUAAGUCAGCUAACUUAGGUACAAAGGAACUAAAAGUUAGUCCAGGAUUCGUAACCGCUUUGUCGACUCUCGGAAAAGCGAAAAUCAUCCAGGAAACUGACUGGUAAAAUAGGAGUGGACAUAGCGGGGCAAUAGCACUCGCUCUGUGAGGAUGAAGAGGUUUCGCCGGCAUGGCCAUGAUUCUCAACGUGACAAGCUAAAGCAGGAACUGUAUCAGUUCAACAAGACUGUGGAGCAUGGCUUCCCUCACCAACCCAGUGCUCUGGGUUACAGCCCUGAUUUAGAUCUGCUUGCAAUUGGCACUCGUUCUGGGGCCAUCAAACUAUAUGGAGCCCCAGGUGUGGAAUUUAUGGGGCUUCAUGAUGAGAAUGCCACAGUUACUCAGGUGCACUUCUUGCCCCACCAGCUGGAAUUGGUGACUCUGCUGGAUGACAACAGUCUGCACAUGUGGACUCUAAGAGCCCACCAUGGUGUGUCUGAGCUUCUGGAAGUGGGUCGUUUCACUCUCACUGGACCACCUGGUGCUCCACCCAGCGUGACACGGGUAACUACAGUGUUGGCACAUUCAUCAGGUGAAUGGCUUCUGCUGGGAACUGAGGGUGGCCAUGUCUUUGUGGUAGAGGUGCCUGGUUUUCGGGAACUUGAGGAGAGGAACAUCAGUGUGGAAGAUGUCCAGGCCAGAAUCCCAGAGGAGUAUGUUACCCGCCGAAACCUGGAGUGUGUGGAGGCCUUGCAGGAGAAACCCUUGAAUCCGAGGCUGGUGCUGAUUGGCUAUGGUCGUGGUCUCAUGGUGCUGUGGGACCUGGAUAGACAGUGUGCCCUCCAGCACUUCCUGGGCACUCAGCAAUUGGAGAGUGUAUGGUGGAUGGAAGAUGGAGAGCAAAUACUUAGUUCUCAUAGUGAUGGCAGCUAUUGUUGCUGGCUGACAACGGAAGGUGAUGUGCAGUCCCAGCCUGAAAAGCAGGAUACUCCUUACGGUUCUUUCCCCUGUAAAGCCAUUUCCAAAGUUCUUCAGUUUCCCACAAAACAAGGGCCUCCAUUCGUGAUCUUCAGUGGGGGAAUGCCACGUGCCAGCUAUGGGGACAGGCACUGUAUCUCUGUCAUCCACAGCAAGACUCACAUUGCACUUGAUUUCACAUCCCGCAUUAUUGACUUCUUUGUUAUCAGAGAAGGAGAGCAGCAUACAGGCGACCCCAGUGCUCUUGUGGUGUUGGUGGAGGAAGAGCUGGUGGUGGUGGAUCUCCAGUCUGAUGGAUGGCCUGUCAUUCAAACACCCUACCUGGUGCCACUGCAUUGCUCAGCUAUCACCUGCUCACAUCAUGUCUCCAGCAUUCCCCUCAAGCUGUGGGAACGCAUACUAGCUGCUGGUGAUUUACAAAAUACACACUACUCAAACAAGCCCUGGCCAAUCACUGGUGGACAGAAUCUGGCCCCUGAACCACCACAGAGGGACCUCCUCCUUACAGGACAUGAAGAUGGUACUGUACGUUUUUGGGACGCCUCUGGGGUCUGCCUGUAUCCCAUGUAUAAGCUCAGCACUGCAGGGGUUUUCCACACAGAUGCAGAUCCAAAUGACAACUUGAAUCAGGGGGCAGAGGGAGAGUGGCCACCAUUCCGCAAGGUUGGAUGCUUUGAUCCCUAUAGUGAUGACCCUCGACUUGGCAUACAAAAGAUCCAUCUUUGUAAAUACAGUGGUUACCUGACAGUAGCAGGCACAGCAGGACAGAUCCUGGUGCUCGAGCUGAAUGAUGAGAAUGCAGAGCAGGUGGUUCCAGCCACAGUUGUGGACUUGCUUCAGGGCCAGGAUGGCUUCCGCUGGAAAGGCCAUGCCCGUUUGGAUGUGAGAGAAGAGCCUGUUUCUUUCCCUCCUGGAUUCCAGCCCUUUGCCUUGGUGCAGUGUCAGCCUCCAGCUGUAGUCACAGCCAUUGCCCUUCACUCUGAGUGGAAACUGGUGGCCUUUGGGACCAGCCAUGGUUUUGGUGUAUAUGACUAUCAGCAGAGGAGCAGUGUUCUAGCCAGGUGCACCCUUAACCCCAGUGAUCAGCUGGCUAUGGAGGGUCCAUUGUCUCGUGUGAAAUCCAUCAAGAAAUCUUUGCGUCAAUCAUUCCGUCGGAUCCGCCGCAGCCGCGUGUCAAUGCGCAAACAUCAGACAAACAAUGCAGCUAAGCUGCAGGAGAUAAACGCAAAGCUGGAGGCAGAAGCUCUGCAGGAAAUGGAGUUGGCACCAGUUCAGAGAAGGAUUGAAGCUCGCUCCUCUGAUGACUCCUUUACUGGUCUUGUUAGAACGCUCUAUUUCGCAGACUCCUUCAUUACUGACAGUACCCAUAACACACCAUCUCUGUGGGCUGGAACAAAUGGUGGUGCUGUAUUUGCCUACAUGCUACGCCUACCGCCUGUGGAGCAUAGGAUGGAGGAAUCAGUAACUGCCCAGCAAGCUAAAGAGAUCCAGCUGAUGCAUCGUGCUCCUGUCGUGGGGCUGGUGGUCCUUGAUGGAAGGGGUGUACCCCUCCCUGAACCCCUGGAAGUAGCCCAUGAUCUGGCCCGCAGUCCAGACAUGCUGGCCUCUCACCACCUCUUGGUCAUAUCUGAGGAGCAAUUCAAGCUAUUCACGUUGCCUAAAGUGAGCACAAAGACCAAGCUGAAGUUGACCGCUAUUGAUGGCUCACGAGUGCGUCGUGUGGGCGUGGCCUUGUUUGGCAGCAGUAGGGUAGAGGACUAUGGUGAAAACAGCCUUGUGGUGUUGAGCAAUCAAGGUGAACUGCAUGUGAUCUCACUUCCUGCCAUCAAAAUGCAAGUACACCACCCUUGCAUACGUCGUGAGGAUGUCAGUGGCAUUGCUUCCUGCGUUUUCACCAAACACGGCCAGGGAUUUUAUUUGAUUUCUCCUUCGGAGUUUGAACGUUUUUCUCUGUCUGCCCGUUGGGUGGUGGAACCGCGGUCUUUAGUGGAGUUGCCAGAUAUUCCCACCUCCACUGUUGAUCCCAGCAAGACCAGUCUUGGGGAUGGGCAGGGUUAUGAUGGCAGGGGAGUCAGAAAAGGCAGUGAUGAGAAUUCUGCUAGACAUGUAAUGGAGCAUGCUUUGCUGAAUGAUGAGAAAGUUCUGCAAGAGAUCCAAAAGUCUCUAGAAGGAGAUCAGAUGUGAGUCUUCACACUGGAUAUAUUUCAUUACAGUGCUACUGUAUGUGCAAAACCUUAAGAUUGACUGUUCAGAGUGCCUACAACUUGGAGUUCACCCAUACUCCAGCCUUGCUAGUAUGGCCUAAACACUACUGCUUCCACAACUACUGAACUCCUUUAGCCAAAUCCCUCAGUCUGGAGUCUGAUGCAUGAAGCCACACCACUGCGAGGGGCCCAGAAGACAAGUGACCGCACCACCUGUGCCUGCCAUGACCAACCACUGUUUCUUCACCGAUUCCAUUGCCUGCUUAACCCACCACUCAUCCCCCAGUCUUUCCUUACCAUACCUGGGGCGUUACCUUUGCACAAUCUGAAAGCAGGCAAGCCUCAAAAGUAAAAGGAACACAUGAUGGAUUGUCUUGUGAGGGGGUGCCCAAGGAGUGUUUUAAUGUAAUUGUUUGUUACUGUUUUUUACCUAUGUGAAUUUUUUUUUUUUUUUUUUUUUUUUUUUUUUACUUUUUAUAAAUAUAUAUACAAAAUUCCUUGCAUCUGCAUGGGCGCCUAACCACCGACACAAGGGAAAAACAAAUUACGCUCACUGCUAACAUCCAUAGUACUGUGUAUGAUUACACAAAGAAGGCUUCCUGUAUGCUGAUAUGAAGUUGCUGUGGAAGCACAUGUGAUGGUUUCAACUGCAGUACUCACAAGGCAUUAGCGUUGCUACCUCUUUCCCUUUCCGUCCAGGUAGAGAAUAGUACAGUGAAUAUUUUAAUAUCAGAUAGGUACUUUCUUUUACUGUGUAGCACCUAAUAUGCUGUAAUUAUUAGGGUGAAAACUUUUUAAAGGGGGCUUGGGUCUUAUUUUAUUAUUGUAUUUUUAUUGCAACAUUGAAUAAUGUAAUUUAGGAAUGUGAUUUUAAAAAUGUCUGAAUGUUUUAAUAUAUGUGUAUACGCAAAUUUGUACCAAUUUAAUGUUAUUGGGGCUGCUGUUAUUUGUAAUCUGACCAGGAGAUAUUUUGGUACUCUUUCCUAAAAUGUUCAAUGUGUUAGCUUUUUGUUGGGGGAGUAGAAUAUAUUUUUGUAGUGACAUAAUCAAGUAUGAGAACUCUAUCAUUUGUAAUUUCACACUACAUUAUGCUCUUCUGAGUAAAUUUUUUUCACAAUCAGAUAA